rnacentral:rRNA from 1 species
AGAACGAACGCUGGCGGCAUGCCUAACACAUGCAAGUCGAACGAGACCUUCGGGUCUAGUGGCGCACGGGUGCGUAACGCGUGGGAAUCUGCCCUUGGGUUCGGAUAACAGCGAGAAAUUGCUGCUAAUACCGGAUGAUGACGUAAGUCCAAAGAUUUAUCGCCCAAGGAUGAGCCCGCGUAGGAUUAGCUUGUUGGUGAGGUAAGAGCUCACCAAGGCGACGAUCCUUAGCUGGUCUGAGAGGAUGAUCAGCCACACGUGGGACUGGACGACGACCGGCCCAGACCUCCGUACGGGAGGCAGCGAGGUGGGAAUAGUUGGACAAGUGGGACGAAGCCUUAGGACU